UACGUAGGGGGCGAGCGUUGUCCGGAGUUACUGGGCGUAAAGGGCACGCAGGCGGUCGCGUCAGUUUGGGGUUACAGCUCCCGGCUUAACUGGGAGAGCGCCUCGAAGACGGCGUGACUUGAGGACUUCAGAGGGACACAGAAUUCCGGGUGUAGUGGUGAAAUGCGUAGAUAUCCGGAGGAAUACCAAAGGCGAAGGCAGUGUCCUGGGGAGUACCUGACGCUCAGGGGCGAAAGCUAGGGGAGCGAACGG
rnacentral:rRNA from 1 species